GGGGUUGUGGCUCAGUGGUAGAUGGCUCGCCUAGCACGUGUGAGGCACUGAGUUCUAUCCUCAGCACCACA
rnacentral:tRNA from 1 species